rnacentral:rRNA from 1 species
GAUGAACGCUGGCGGCGUGCCUAAUACAUGCAAGUCGAGCGAACAGACGAGGAGCUUGCUCCUCUGACGUUAGCGGCGGACGGGUGAGUAACACGUGGAUAACCUACCUAUAAGACUGGGAUAACUUCGGGAAACCGGGGCUAAUACCGGAUAAUAUAUUGAACCGCAUGGUUCAAUAGUGAAAGACGGUUUUGCUGUCACUUAUAGAUGGAUCCGCGCCGCAGUAGCUAGUUGGUAAGGUAACGGCUUACCAAGGCGACGAUGCGUAGCCGACCUGAGAGGGUGAUCGGCCACACUGGAACUGAGACACGGUCCAGACUCCUACGGGAGGCAGCAGUAGGGAAUCUUCCGCAAUGGGCGAAAGCCUGACGGAGCAACGCCGCGUGAGUGAUGAAGGUCUUCGGAUCGUAAAACUCUGUUAUUAGGGAAGAACAAAUGUGUAAGUAACUAUGCACGUCUUGACGGUACCUAAUCAGAAAGCCACGGCUAACUACGUG